GGGUCGUGAUUUGUGCAAAUAUGUUAUUUCGUUCAUAUUGCACCAGUCCCGGCCUGA
rnacentral:pre_miRNA from 1 species